rnacentral:rRNA from 1 species
AGAGUUUGAUCCUGGCUCAGAUUGAACGCUGGCGGCAUGCCUUACACAUGCAAGUCGAACGGCAGCACGGGAGCAAUCCUGGUGGCGAGUGGCGAACGGGUGAGUAAUACAUCGGAACGUGCCCAAUCGUGGGGGAUAACGCAGCGAAAGCUGUGCUAAUACCGCAUAAGAUCUACGGAUGAAAGCAGGGGAUCGCAAGACCUUGCGCGAAUGGAGCGGCCGAUGGCAGAUUAGGUAGUUGGUGAGGUAAAGGCUCACCAAGCCUUCGAUCUGUAGCUGGUCUGAGAGGACGACCAGCCACACUGGGACUGAGACACGGCCCAGACUCCUACGGGAGGCAGCAGUGGGGAAUUUUGGACAAUGGGCGAAAGCCUGAUCCAGCCAUGCCGCGUGCAGGAUGAAGGCCUUCGGGUUGUAAACUGCUUUUGUACGGAACGAAAAGUCUCUUUCUAAUAAAGAGGGAUCAUGACGGUACCGUAAGAAUAAGCACCGGCUAACUACGUGCCAGCAGCCGCGGUAAUACGUAGGGUGCAAGCGUUAAUCGGAAUUACUGGGCGUAAAGCGUGCGCAGGCGGUUAUAUAAGACAGUUGUGAAAUCCCCGGGCUCAACCUGGGAACUGCAUCUGUGACUGUAUAGCUAGAGUACGGUAGAGGGGGAUGGAAUUCCGCGUAGCAGUGAAAUGCGUAGAUAUGCGGAGGAACACCGAUGGCGAAGGCAAUCCCCUGGACCUGUACUGACGCUCAUGCACGAAAGCGUGGGGAGCAAACAGGAUUAGAUACCCUAGUAGUCC